UUUUAAAAUCCUAACUAGAAGACCUCAACACGCCCAGGAGAAGGAGGGGCAUCAUCCAGCAUGGUAAUGUCACGGAGGUGUCAAGGUUUCCUCACGGCACAGGAUACUCUAGGGGGCGCUGUCUGUACCAACUGCCAUUGCAAUCAUGGCAAGGUUUCUUGCAUUUCUUGCAGACUUGUACUGCAUCCAGGCAUUUGUGACAGCAACAUCAAACAGCCAUCACAUGUCUGGUCCAUUUCCUGGCUCUUCCUGCCAUGUGAUAGACACAGAGGUCUCUGUACUCCAACCUGGGCCUGGACUGGUGUUUGGUGCAGACAUCCUCAGAAUCUUUCCCAUUUGCAGUAGAAACCAUAAGCACUCAGUUGUUUUCUGAACAUUGGUACAGACUCAUCACCAAGGUCUGUCGUGGGCAAAGAUUUCAGCAGACUGCAGGUUUCAUGAUUAAACUCCAAACAAAGACUGACAGUCAAACAUGUCAGACAACUGUCUCGAAGCUCUUCUUGUUGACACCACGGUGGCACCACAUCAUUUCUGUGUCGGUCAGUGCAGAGUUGGUCAGUGACGAUACAUUCCAUUUCCAUUUGUAUACAGUAAAUACAAAUUAUAGCUUUUUCUUGUUUGAAAUUUUCAUGAUUUUCUUGUUAUUUUCUUGUUUUUUGUUCACUUAAAUCAUUUUUCCAUUUUAUUUCAGAAACCAUCACAACAUCUAAGUGCUAUAACAAGGUAGACACUGAGGAAUUAUGGUUUUUGAAACUUCACGUACGUCAGCAUGUGUAACGUCUUUGUCAAUUAUAGCCAAAACAGUAGCACUCUAAAACCUGAAUCCACAAAAACAAAAUAUAAGAAUUAUAAUGAAGUGCUGCUUCAUUUAUCCAAUUAUGUCAGAAUAUAUAAUUAUCUGAUAAUAAGAUGUGAUCCUUCCAUCUAUCCAGCCUUUCUCCAAGAUGUUCACACACACACACUCACACACACACCCACACACACACACACACACAGUGCAUGACUCAUCCUGAUGACUCACUCCACCUCUCCUUUCUCCACACACACAGACAGUACAUACACGCACACACACUCCUGCUGUAUUAUCUACCCCUGGCUAACCUUGAAGGACGAACAAAGAAGAUACUGGUGUACUGAGGUGGAGCUGCUGAUCAACAGCAUUAUUCUUCCUCCUCCUCCUCCUCCUCCUCUCCAUCCUCCUCUUCCACAUUUUUUCGUACCGAUCCAGAAAACGAGCUCUAUGUUAAAUGUGUCUGUAACAUUGGCUUUGAAGAGAUUUCAGGAAUGGUAAAAAAAAAAAAAAAAAGUUGUGAAGUUUCUUUACGUAAUCAAAACUUGCACCAGCUUUAAAACUUCAUCUGAUGCUACAUAACAGUACAGUAUGUACUGAGUCCUAGUGCCUUCCUGUUGGGGAAGUCUGCAGUGUGGCAGGCACGGAACCAAUGUCAUCCUUACUGUAAGCAUGUUUACUGUACAUGGGUAUAAUUACCAAAAUAUAAAUACAUUUUUAAUGGGAACAUUUCAUUUAUUCUGUUUUUGAGAGUGUUUUGUCCACCUGAGUAAAACUAGGAGCUUCAAUAAGUUGAAUAUACAGAAAAAAGGUCAUUAUUGAACAAGGUACAUGAUUACUGUUUCAGUAAUUAGUGAUUCUUUUUAUUAAAUCCUCUUGAACUUCUGAUUAAUUCCAUUUGAUUAUGAAAGUACUUUUCAUUUAUGAAGUUUUCUUUGAAUCCUGAAUUCCUGACUAAUUUCUCUGCUUUUCUUUUUUUUUUUUUUUUUUGCUUUAUUCCUAAUUAAACCUCCUUAUUCUUGAUUAAAUCAUGAUUGAUUCCUAAUCAACAUAUGUUGGGUCAAUACUAAUAAAAUGCUGUCCUGUCAAAGUGACCUCAUAAAUGAUUAUUUUGAAAUUGAUGACCAACUAUUUACACCUAUAUCAGUGCAAUGAAAACUCUCUUGAAAUUGAUUUUCCUCAUUUCAUACUAAAUUCUUGCAGCUGGUUUUGCUCUGCUCACUUCAGUGAUUAACGAUCACAACAUUAAAUAUUUUUUAUCCAAUAAUCAGUCACAUAUCCUUCUGUAAUUAAAAUAAUGUAAUAUCAUUAAACCUUUUUCCAUGUCCCUAAAAUUGUAUUCCACCCAGUUAUUACAGGUUAACUGCCCCUUUAAGAGACAGGCUGAUGCAACAGUGACAUCAGCAACAGCGUUCUGUCUGUCUUCGCUGGUGGAUGUAUUUGACACAAGAACUGCAAGUACACCAGACUCCGCAUUUAUAUUUUCUAAUUUUCACCAAAUUGUGAUUAUACUUGGAUGUUGUCGUUAUCAUAAGUAGGAAAACUAUUUCUAUUAUAUGGAGUUAGUCACAGUCCCCUGCCCUGAAGGUUUGACAGCUUGGCUUCAGGAGGCACGUGAUCACGGCCGAGCUGUGCUCUCUGAGAGUCGUGCUCAGCAGAAGCGUCACUAUGACCUGAGACGACGUCAGGUCUCCUACAUCACUGAGGGUCUUGUCAGAGUGAGAACUCUACCACAGUCAGCUGCACAAGUUAACUUCACUGCCAGCCCGGCCCCAUCUCCAUAAGACUGUCUGAUGUUAACUGAAGUUCACCCAGGACAGGACGACGGUGUUUUCCAUGUGAACAUGGAGCCUGUUCAUAAGUUGUCAUUAAUGAUUUCACUGAUCCCACUGACUCUGUGGACUGUACAGGUCACUGAUGAUGUGCAUCAUUCUGACCCCUCUGGCCCUCCCUUGGCCUGGCUGACUGUUAGAACCUGAGACCUAGAUGGACCCCCAGAGUCACCUUGACCAACCCUUAUUGUUCUUUUUUGGUUGAAUGUUUUGUAAUACUCAAGUGCUUCUGGUAGUAGUAAUGUUCCUAUGUUACAUGAAUGACCAAGAGAAUAAUGUAAAUAAUAUUUGUGUAGAUAUUCCCUCCACUCAGACUGCAAAGGAGUUAUAUACUUGUGUCCUAAUGUGAUUAUUAUGUGCUAUGAAAAAAUAUUGUACUGACAUACACUGUCAUGUACGUCAGUUACCUGAUAUUUCACUGUAUGUCUCUCACUUUGGUCCUGACAGCUAAAUUGUCUCCUUGUGUGUGAAGGUAGUUUAGGUUUGGCCUGUUCCUCUACGUUGUAUGGCCACCAGGGGGGGAAUAAAAUCAAAGAUUGGGGACUAGACUUUUGGGGGACAUGUAGCAGAAAUGUGACGUCAGCUGCCUGCGUGCAGUCUUUGUUCUUUUUUUUAAAAACAACUCUUUUGGUUUGUCCUAAUAAAACAGUGACGGUUUGUAAAUGUGUAGACGUGAGUCUACCUGCGUGACACCAACCGUCACAAACUCAUAAAUUCUUUUAAUUUGGAAUAAAGACGAAGGAAGUGGCUCCGCGGAUCAGCUAAUGUGUAACUUCACCAGUCACGGACUUCUUUACAAUGUGAUGCUACAACAUAUGAAACGGAGAAGAAGAAAGUUGGCACACCGCAGGUGACCAGCAGGGGGAGUGUGAGAGUCAGAGUUGAGCUGAAUGCAGCCAUGCAACUACCACAGAACAACAUUUCCAGGUCCAGACCACCCUCGUGGACCUGCAGGUGAAAAUACAGGAGUCCUCGGAGCAGCAGCACGGGGCCGCAUGACAAGAAGCUGGGCCUUAUUCCCAGAGGGUCAGCAGUUCAAAUAUCAUCCUGACAGGUGGAAAAGCAGAAAUGUGAUGACAGACCUGUAUAAGUACCCAGGAGAGUAGACCGUAAGAUGCAGAAGGCAACAUCUCUGCCGUAGCAGCUGCUAAGAGACUGGAAAAAGGCACAGUACGCGUUAUGUGGGAAGGGCACAGAUUUUGGAGGAG